rnacentral:rRNA from 1 species
GAUGAACGCUGGCGGCGUGCUUAACACAUGCAAGUCGAACGGAAAGACCCUGCUUUUGCGGGGCGCUCGUGAGGCGAACGGGUGAGUAACACGUGUGUAACCUGCCCUUGACUUUGGGAUAAAUCCAGGAAACUGGGGCUAAUAUAGCAUAGAAUCUCUUGCUGCACGGUGGGGGAUGGAAAGAUUCGGCGGUGGGGGCUGGUCUGGAUGCUUAUCGGCUUGUUGGUGGAGUAGUGGCUGACCAAGCUUAUGACGGGUAGCCGGCCUGAGAGGGGGACCAGCGACAUGGGGACUGAGAGAGGGCCCAGACGGCUACGGGAGGCAGUGGUGGAGAAUAUUGCGGAAUGGGCGGGAGCCAGAUGCAGCGACGCCGGGUGCGGGAUGACGGCCUUCGGGUUAUAAACCGCUUUCGCCUGUGACGAAGCGGGAGUGACGGUAAUGGGUAAAGAAGCACCGGCUAACUACGUG